CCCGUUGUACACACCGCCCGUCACGCCAUGGAAGUUGGUAGUGCCCAAAGUCCGUGACCCAACCGUAAGGAGGGAGCGGCCCAAGGCAAGAUCAAUGACUGGGGCG
rnacentral:rRNA from 1 species